CACUGCGAUCAUACCAGCACUAAAGCACCGGAUCCCAUCAGAACUCCGAAGUUAAGCGUGCUUGGGCGAGAGUAGUACUAGGAUGGGUGACCUCCUGGGAAGUCCUCGUAUUGCMUUCC
rnacentral:rRNA from 16 species